CACGUAGGCGGACUUGUAAGUCAGGGGUGAAAUCCCGAGGCUCAACUUCGGAACUGCCUUUGAUACUGCAAGUCUCGAGUCCGGAAGAGGUGAGUGGAAUUCCUAGUGUAGAGGUGAAAUUCGUAGAUAUUAGGAAGAACACCAGUGGCGAAGGCGGCUCACUGGUCCGGUACUGACGCUGAGGUGCGAAAGCGUGGGGAGCAAACA
rnacentral:rRNA from 1 species